AAUGCUUACACAUGCAAGUCGACUGGAAUUCUUCUUCGGAAGAUAGUACGGUGGCGGACGGGUGAGUAACGCGUAAAGAAUUUGCUCUUCAGACUGGGACAACUAAUCGAAAGGUUAGCUAAUACCGGAUAUUAUGAGACCUCGGCAUCGGGGACUUAUGAAAGCUAUAUGCGCUGGAGGAGAACUUUGCGUUCCAUUAGCUAGUUGGUAGGGUAAUGGCCUACCAAGGCGACGAUGGAUAGCCGGCCUGAGAGGGUGAACGGCCACAAGGGGACUGAGACACGGCCCUUACUCCUACGGGAGGCAGCAGUGGGGAAUAUUGGACAAUGGACCAAAAGUCUGAUCCAGCAAUUCUGUGUGCAUGAUGAAGGUCUUCGGAUUGUAAAGUGCUUUCAGGUGGGAAGAAGAAAGUGACGGUACCACCAGAAGAAGCGACGGCUAAAUACGUGCCAGCAGCCGCGGUAAUACGUAUGUCGCAAGCGUUAUCCGGAAUUAUUGGGCGUAAAACGAGUCUAGGCGGCUUGUUAAGUCAGAUGUGAAAAUGCGGGGCUCAACUCCGUAUUGCGUUUGAAACUGGCAGGCUAGAGUACUGGAGAGGUGGGCGGAACUACAAGUGUAGAGGUGAAAUUCGUAGAUAUUUGUAGGAAUGCCGAUAGUGAAGACAGCUCACUGGACAGAUACUGACGCUAAAGCUCGAAAGCGUGGGGAGCGAACAGGAUUAGAUACCCUGGUAGUCCACGCCGUAAACGAUGUUCACUGGGUGUAGGGGGUCGAACCUCUGUGCCGAAGCUAACGCGAUAAGUGAACCGCCUGGGGAGUACGCACGCAAGUGUGAAACUCAAAGGAAUUGACGGGGACCCGCACAAGCGGUGGAGCAUGUGGUUUAAUUCCGACGCAACGC
rnacentral:rRNA from 1 species